UUGCGAGCGCAGCCACCAGGCCGACGUGCACGAGCGCCUGAUCGUGUUGCUGGAUGAAGCGAGC
rnacentral:tRNA from 1 species